UCUCUCCUACGGGAGGCAGCAGUGAGGAAUAUUGGUCAAUGGCCGCAGGGCUGAACCAGCCAAGUCGCGUGAGGGAUGACGGUCCUAUGGAUUGUAAACCUCUUUUGUCAGGGAGCAAAGGGCGCCACGUGUGGCGUUUUGCGAGUACCUGAAGAAAAAGCAUCGGCUAACUCCGUGCCAGCAGCCGCGGUAAUACGGAGGAUGCGAGCGUUAUCCGGAUUUAUUGGGUUUAAAGGGGGCGCAGACGGCAAUGCAAGCCAGGAGUGAAAGCCCGGGGCCCAACCCCGGGACUGCUCUUGGAACUG
rnacentral:rRNA from 1 species